rnacentral:rRNA from 1 species
ANAAAUAGGUGCUAAUACCGCAUAAGCGCACGAAGCCGCAUGGGGCGGUGUGAAAAACUCCGGUGGUAUACGAUGGAUCCGCGUCUGAUUAGCCAGUUGGCGGGGUAGAGGCCCACCAAGGCGACGAUCAGUAGCCGGCCUGAGAGGGUGAACGGCCACAUUGGGACUGAGACACGGCCCAAACUCCUACGGGAGGCAGCAGUGGGGAAUAUUGCACAAUGGGGGAAACCCUGAUGCAGCGACGCCGCGUGAGUGAAGAAGUAUUUCGGUAUGUAAAGCUCUAUCAGCAGGAAAGAAAAUGACNGUACCUGACUAAGAAGCCCCGGCUAACUACGUGCCAGCAGCCGCGGUAAUACGUAGGGGGCAAGCGUUAUCCGGAUUUACUGGGUGUAAAGGGAGCGUAGACGGUGAAGCAAGUCUGAAGUGAAAGGCGGGGGCUCAACCCCCGGACUGCUUUGGAAACUGUUUGACUGGAGUGCAGGAGAGGUAAGUGGAAUUCCUAGUGUAGCGGUGAAAUGCGUAGAUAUUAGGAGGAACACCAGUGGCGAAGGCGGCUUACUGGACUGUAACUGACGUUGAGGCUCGAAAGCGUGGGGAGCAAACAGGAUUAGAUACCCUGGUAGUCCACGCGGUAAACGAUGAUCACUAGGUGU